rnacentral:rRNA from 1 species
AUGACUAGUCUAAAUUUAAGUGUGCUUAAUUGGAAUGUACGUGGCCUGAACUGCCCCAAUAGAAGAACCACUGUGAAUGCCACCAUUGCAGCUUCAACAUGUCACUUGGCUUGCCUCCAGGAAUCAAAUCUUGAAGAUGUGGAUGCCUACACCGCUGCUUUUCUUGGCGGAUAUAGACUGAAAGGUUUUGCUCAACGCCCUGCUGUUGGAACGCGGGGUGGAAUCCUACUUAUCUGGAAUGAAGAUCAUGUCCGCGUUGAAAGUGUCCAGUAUGGCGACUACACCCUCUCGGCCAGUGUCACUAUCAUCAGCUCCAAUAUUUCUUUCAAGCUAACCUCCGUUUACGGCCCAACUAGAAACAACCUAAAAGAGGCAUUCUUCCAGGAAAUGAAGGACCAAAAGCCAGCAAAUAAUGUGAGGUGGCUCGUCACCGGCGAUUUUAACCAAAUCUACAGGGCUAGAGAUAAGAAUCGUCCAAAUGCUAACCGUGGCCGAAUUGUACGAUUCCGCAACACCCUCAACUUCUGCGAGCUCAAGGAAAUCCACAUCCAGAAUAGAAAAUACACCUGGAGUAAUGAGCAAAGCAACCCGACAAUGUCCAAACUAGAUGGGUUCUUCUGUAAUGAGGAAUGGGAUAUCACUUUCGAUAAACACAUCCUUCACGCCCUGUCAUCCUCACUUUCGGAUCACUGCCCUCUACUCCUCGCCAAUGAAGAUGGGCCUCGGCGGCCGCGGACUUUCAGAUUUGAAAAUUUUUGGACCAACAUGCCAGGCUUUUAGCAGGUCGUCCAGGAGGCGUGGAAUGAGACGUCCGCACACAAUGAGCCAUACCAAAGACUGUUCCACAAGCUAAAGAACACAAGUCAGAAGCUUCGCUCCUGGAGCAAAAGCCUUUUCUCUAAUGCCAAAGUCCAGCUACAUAUGGCUCUGGAGGUCAUCCUAAGACUUGAUGAGGCCCAGGACCUUCGAGAUCUUAGUCCAGCGGAGUUGGAUCUUCGGAAGCGACUCAAGAAAAAAGUAGUGGGCCUUGCGGUGAUGGAACGUGCGCGGAAAAGGCAGACCUCGAGGAUCACCAACAUAAAAGAGGGAGACGCGAAUACCCGCUAUUUUCACCUUAGAGUCGGAGGAGGAAAAACCUUAUUCACCGCCUAA